UAGAACGACCAUCGUACAAACAAAGGGGUAAAGCAAAAGGACCGGGAGCUGCACAAAUGUGAACAAGCAAUGUCUACCUUCUUGAUGGUGCCUCUGUCCAGAAGUGGAAGCAGACAAUCUCCAAGCUGACAGAACGAUAGACAUUUGUCUGCAAUCUCUAGGUUCAACUCGCUUAAGGUCCAAUUUGCAUAUUCCACAAACACAAAAGAACAAUAACUUGAUGUACUGUACAAGAGGAUUUGUGCUGUGCUAAAGAGUCAGC